UUUGGCGCGGGGGGAGGCGGAGCGGCGGCGAAGAGCGGCGAGGAGCGGCUGGAGGAGAUGGAGGCCGAGAUGGCGCUGUUCGAGCAGGAGGUUUUGGGGGCUCCAGGCCGCGCCCCCGGGGACCCGCUGGCCCCGCCCCCCAUCCUGCGGCCAAUCAUCGCCACCAACACCUACCAGCAGGUCAGCAGCGACAUCCUUGGAGGAGCCUCAGGAUUGCUCCCUGCAGUGAUCCCUGCUCCACCCUUGGAAUACAGAGCAAAAUCCCAGGGAAUGCUCCGUGCCUGCAGCUCUCCCGCUCUGGGCUGUGCCACCUCCACACAGCUUCUCCUGGGAAGUUCUCUGCAGCCCAGCACAGGAGGAUCCAGCUCUGCUCGCGGCCCUCUGCUCCUGGAGUCGUCGAGGAGCAGCUGCAACAAUUCCCCGAGUCCCA